AAAAUAUGGGGAAAAAAGAAGUAUUUUAGCCAUAAGGUCCAGUGAGAGGGGGAAAUGUUGGCUUUUUAAAGACAUGAAAGACACUGGACUCAUCAAGAUUUAGUGCUGCUAUAACGGACUGAUGCAGCAGGUGGCAGCAAUGGAACAAUAAGCAUGCCAACUGUUGUUAUAAGCCACAAAAGAAGAAGAAGGGUCCAUU